rnacentral:rRNA from 1 species
UGGGGAAUAUUGCGCAAUGGGGGAAACCCUGACGCAGCGACGCCGCGUGUGGGAUGAAGGUCUUCGGAUUGUAAACCACUGUCGCGAGGGACGAAGCUCUGACGGUACCUCGAAAGGAAGCACCGGCUAACUCUGUGCCAGCAGCCGCGGUAAUACAGAGGGUGCGAGCGUUGUCCGGAAUCACUGGGCGCAAAGGGCGCGUAGGCGGCCCGGUAAGUAGGGGGUGAAAUCUCAUGGCUCAACUGUGAGGCUGCCUUCUAGACUGCCAGGCUUGAGCACAGUAGAGGCGAGUGGAAUUCCCGGUGUAGCGGUGGAAUGCGUAGAGAUCGGGAAGAACAUCGGUGGCGAAGGCGGCUCGCUGGGCUGUUGCUGACGCUGAGGCGCGAAAGCGUGGGGAGCGAACGGGAUUAGAUACCCUGGUAGUCCCUGAGCGGGCUGGCAAGGCGCAU